CCCGCCGAGGAGCGUUGCGACGGCUGAUCUGCCGCCAGGCUCGUCGGGCUUUCCCUUUGGAAAACGACGCUCGCCGCUU
rnacentral:ncRNA from 2 species